rnacentral:lncRNA from 1 species
CCCAGAGAAGCCCUUCCUGAUGCAGUCGACGGGGGUGAGAACGUCGCGGGAAAUAUUCCCUCACUAACCCCCACUUUGGGCUACACAGCGGCCUUGGAGAGGACCACACUCUACAGGAAAAACAUCAGGCUUGCAAAGAUGUUUACAAUAGCAGAGGCAUGGAGUUGGUAGAAGAGAAAGAUCUCCAAGCAAAGAAUGGGUUUUCCCUGAGAAGGUCGCAUCCCAUGCAGACAACCCAUUUCGCCUCACCAGGAAAGCUGAACUCAGACCCCUGUGAGUUGUGUUCAUAGCGCUUUACGUCCAUCUCCUUAAAACUGUGGUGGUGGCUUACGUCUGUCAUCCCCGCACUUUGGGAAGCUGAGGCGGGCAGAUGAUGAGAUCAAGAGUUUGAGACCAUCCUGGCCAACACGGUGAAACCCCAUCUCUACUAAAAAUACAAAAAUUAGCUGGGCGUGGUGGAGCGUGCCUGCAGUCCCAGCUACUUGGGAGGCUGAAGCAGGAGAAUCACUUGAACCCGGGAGGCAGAGCUUGCAGUGAGCCGAGAUCGUGCCAUUGCCCUCCAGCCUGGUGACAGAGCGAGACUCCGUCUCAGAAAAACAAAAACAAAAACAAACUGUGGCAUCUUCAAGAAGAUGGCAUUUUAUCCAAUUCCCCUUUAAUGAGAAUGUGAGCUUAAGUUAGGCUAACUUUUGUCUCUCUGUUGUCCCUAAUCGGACUAAGAAAAGCCACGUGAUCUUGAGCAGAACAAGGAACAUUUCAGCCCCCCGGCCUGUAACAGGGAAGCUCAAGAUGCCACAUGGCGAGGCUCUGCAGCCCAUCUGCUCAAACCUGCCCACACCGCACCUUGCUCCCGGGAGCCCUAAACCCCUCGCCGAGUCUCAGGCUGAGCAGGGGUCUCAGAUCUGGCUGCCCAUUAGAAACCUGGUAGGCUCUCACCCAAUGCAAAGGAUGCUGUGAUCCCCUCAGCAGGUCCUGAGAGAGGACUCAGCCACUGCACACCCACACUGGUCUCUGGAGGGGCAGCCACGUUCUAUCGUGGUAACGUCCGCCCCGUGGCAGGGACUGCUGACUGUCCCUACGCUCUCCUCCUUCCUCUUGGUGAUGGAAGCUACCACCCGCCGAGUUGCAGAUGCCCACAUUUCCCGGACCCUGUGCAGCUCGCUGUGGCACAGAGACUGCAUGUGGGACAAUGGGAAUACUACCAAAGAGAGGCUGAGGAGUGAGGUGAGCCAGCCUCCAUCCCGUGGGAGAGAACCACAUGACGGGCCAGCCCCAUCCCGUGGGAGAGAACCACAUGACGGGCCAGCCCCAUCCCGUGGGAGAGAACCACAUGACGGGCCAGCCCAAUCCUGUGGGAGAGAACCACAUGACGGUGGAGCCACACGUCCACCAGAGCCUAAGCGUUGGGGCCCCGAGUGACCACACGGAACCACGCUGCCCCAGGCACAGGAGCACUCAACUCUGCAGCCUCACCAGAGGGAGACGGCGCUGCCUGCCCGAGCCGCUUCACACUCAGACCUUUUCACUACAGCAGAUUCAUCUACUCACAACAAAGGGGUUGUGAGUUCUCCAAGAACAUGUUUUUAAAUAUCUUUCAGUAAAUCUAUUACAAGUUCUCAUUAGAUUGAAUUUAUUCUUAAGUUGUUUUAUCUCAGUUGCUAUUAUAAAUAAAUUAAUUUAUUCCAUGCCAAUUGGUACUUUGGUUAGACAGGAAACAUCAAUUUUGAGAAUAUAUUUAAUAAUCGGCUUCUUUGUAAUUUUUUAUUAGUUACUUCAUGCGUGUGCAUGUGUGUGUGUGAAUGUUUACAAACAUGGAACAUGC